AUUUAGUGCUCAUACUUUUAACGCUUUACAGCUUGGAUUUAUCGCCGGAGAUAGUUCCUGUACGGACUUACUGCGUUUGUUUUUUCCUUGGCCACGCGAAUGAGUAUAUAUUUCUAUCUAAUCCCUCCCGGCAUCAAUAAUUCCGACCUGGUUAUUAGGCCCGGUAGGAGCAAGCAAAGUGUCGAUGCUAUGAUUAAUCAGGAUAAUGUUGUGUCAGGUCAUGGCUGGGCUGUCUGGCACGGGUUUCUGCAAGAUCGGUGGCUGGACCGGCAACGAAGCAUCAUAAAUGUCGUUCCUUCAGACAACAAGCCGGUGAUGUUCAUCAGCUGUCAGCUAAAGGAACCAUACGGUUUACCACAAGAUAAAGUUGGCAUAAAUCUCCUUCGAGUUCCAGGUGGUUUACCACCUUAAGAAAGAGCAAGUGAGCAACCUUCAGAAAUUAGAGGUUCCUCU